GGCGUAUCAUGGUCUGGAUUACAAAUGUUCCACUACACAGCAUUUACUCUUACUGCACAAUAACUGGAUUUGCUUUUCUGGCUUCAUGAUCAAGAAAAACAAAUGUUAUGUUUAGUUUGGAAGUUGUCACAGAUACCUAAUGGCAUACUUUAACUCUGACUGUCACUUAUUAUAGAAUGAUGGAUGUCUGGUUCUUGCUGCGGAUGGACUAUUUGGACUUCCAAGGAAGAAAUCGUCUGGAAGUAGUCUUGAAAGACCGAAGCACUUCAACCGAUUCUUUUGCUCUCAAGAUCUUGUUGAUGCUUUUAUUGGAGAGAACAACAUUCUUCUGAGGAGGGUUGUGUCAGCUUUCAAGCAGGUAGUGCACUCAGGUCAAAGGUGAAGAACUCCAAAUUGGAUGAGACGGGUGUUUUUGGCAUAUCCUAUAAGCAUGAAGAUCCACGUCGCUUUCUUAGUCUGAAGAGAGGUGAAAGCCUUUCGAAUGCUGUCUACCUGCUAAAGGAACUGCAAGAACAGUUUGGGACAAGCAAAACAAUUGUCUUCAUGUAUGAUAUUGCUUGCAGAUUAAAACCUCACUUGCAGAAGUUUUAUCCAGAUCUUCUGACAAAGAAGCUGACAUUUGCUGUUCCUGCGUUCCAUGCUUAUGGACAUGAUGUUGCUUGUCAGAUUUCAUACAGCUGUAGGAAUGUUGAAGGUGCAGGUUUAGCUGAUGGGGAACAGCUGGAACGACUGUGGUCAUACCUACGCCGUUUUGUAAGGUGACUAAGGAAAGUUGACCUGCUGACUGAUGCUUUGCUGCACUACAGCUCAAAGAUAAGAAACAGCCAUGGUAAAGGUGUAGUGUGUGUAGUCAUGUCAUUGUAUAC
rnacentral:lncRNA from 15 species